rnacentral:rRNA from 1 species
AUGUUGGUCGAGAAGAUGCCGAUGGCCGCCGGCUACGAGGGCUUUCCUCUCGUCCCAGCGUUCCAGGCGGACAAGGAACAGGCGGAUGCGGUGCUGACGGAGGAGGCGUCGUUGAUCGUCAAGGCGGGGUGCGGCCCCAAGAGGAAGGCGGAGGAGGACGGCGGCGAGGUCACCGUCAAGGCCAAAGCGAAGGCCGCGGAGGAGGAGGCGGCAGCUUUCGCCACCGUCAAGGCCAAGUCGGAGGAGGACUCGGACGAAGACGAUGAGUGGGACGAUGACGAGUUCAUGGCCAGGAUCACGGCAGACCACGCCGCCCAUGUCGAGAAGAUGAAGGCUCUGUAUCCCACCGUCAAGUACGGGGACUACGACCCUAAGGUCUACUGCCACCGCCCCGACCCGGAGUCGGAUGCUUGGAAUCUCCAGAAGAAAUGCCUAGGUCUUGCUGAGAUUGCUGCCGUAUUAUUGUAG